rnacentral:piRNA from 1 species
UGCUCAAAGUGGAGUUUCAGGGCCUCAUC